rnacentral:rRNA from 1 species
CUUAAGUGGGGAAUAACGCAUCGAAAGAUGUGCUAAUACCGCAUGUACUCUGAGGAGGAAAGCAGGGGACCGAAAGGCCUUGCGCUUUUGGAGCGGCCGAUGUCUGAUUAGCUAGUUGGUGGGGCAAGGGCCUACCAAGGCGACGAUCAGUAGUUGGUCUGAGAGGACGACCAGCCACACUGGGACUGAGACACGGCCCAGACUCCUACGGGAGGCAGCAGUGGGGAAUUUUGGACAAUGGGCGCAAGCCUGAUCCAGCAAUGCCGCGUGAGUGAAGAAGGCCUUCGGGUUGUAAAGCUCUUUCAGUCGAGAAGAAAAGGCUACGGUAAAUAAUCGUAGUUCAUGACGGUACCGACAGAAGAAGCACCGGCUAACUACGUGCCAGCAGCCGCGGUAAUACGUAGGGUGCGAGCGUUAAUCGGAAUUACUGGGCGUAAAGGGUGCGCAGGCGGCUUUGUAAGUCAGAUGUGAAAUCCCCGGGCUUAACCUGGGAAUUGCGUUUGAAACUACAAGGCUAG